AGUCGAGCGGUAGCACAGAGAGCUUGCUCUCGGGUGACGAGCGGCGGACGGGUGAGUAAUGUCUGGGAAACUGCCUGAUGGAGGGGGAUAACUACUGGAAACGGUAGCUAAUACCGCAUAACGUCGCAAGACCAAAGUGGGGGACCUUCGGGCCUCAUGCCAUCAGAUGUGCCCAGAUGGGAUUAGCUGGUAGGUGGGGUAACGGCUCACCUAGGCGACGAUCCCUAGCUGGUCUGAGAGGAUGACCAGCCACACUGGAACUGAGACACGGUCCAGACUCCUACGGGAGGCAGCAGUGGGGAAUAUUGCACAAUGGGCGCAAGCCUGAUGCAGCCAUGCCGCGUGUGUGAAGAAGGCCUUCGGGUUGUAAAGCACUUUCAGCGGGGAGGAAGGCGGUGAGGUUAAUAACCUCAUCGAUUGACGUUACCCGCAGAAGAAGCACCGGCUAACUCCGUGCCAGCAGCCGCGGUAAUACGGAGGGUGCAAGCGUUAAUCGGAAUUACUGGGCGUAAAGCGCACGCAGGCGGUCUGUCAAGUCGGAUGUGAAAUCCCCGGGCUCAACCUGGGAACUGCAUUCGAAACUGGCAGGCUAGAGUCUUGUAGAGGGGGGUAGAAUUCCAGGUGUAGCGGUGAAAUGCGUAGAGAUCUGGAGGAAUACCGGUGGCGAAGGCGGCCCCCUGGACAAAGACUGACGCUCAGGUGCGAAAGCGUGGGGAGCAAACAGGAUUAGAUACCCUGGUAGUCCACGCUGUAAACGAUGUCGAUUUGGAGGUUGUGCCCUUGAGGCGUGGCUUCCGGAGCUAACGCGUUAAAUCGACCGCCUGGGGAGUACGGCCGCAAGGUUAAAACUCAAAUGAAUUGACGGGGGCCCGCACAAGCGGUGGAGCAUGUGGUUUAAUUCGAUGCAACGCGAAGAACCUUACCUGGUCUUGACAUCCACAGAACUUUCCAGAGAUGGAUUGGUGCCUUCGGGAACUGUGAGACAGGUGCUGCAUGGCUGUCGUCAGCUCGUGUUGUGAAAUGUUGGGUUAAGUCCCGCAACGAGCGCAACCCUUAUCCUUUGUUGCCAGCGGUCCGGCCGGGAACUCAAAGGAGACUGCCAGUGAUAAACUGGAGGAAGGUGGGGAUGACGUCAAGUCAUCAUGGCCCUUACGACCAGGGCUACACACGUGCUACAAUGGCAUAUACAAAGAGAAGCGACCUCGCGAGAGCAAGCGGACCUCAUAAAGUAUGUCGUAGUCCGGAUUGGAGUCUGCAACUCGACUCCAUGAAGUCGGAAUCGCUAGUAAUCGUAGAUCAGAAUGCUACGGUGAAUACGUUCCCGGGCCUUGUACACACCGCCCGUCUCACCAUGGGAGUGGGUUGCAAAAGAAGUAGGUAGCUUAA
rnacentral:rRNA from 1 species